rnacentral:misc_RNA from 1 species
GUUUGGUUUCAUACCUUUUAAAGCCAAAGAUUUUAUUUAUUUAUAACCACACCUACAACAAGAGAAAGAAAACAAUUAUCACACCAGAGAGAAAGAGCAAGAAAAGAAAAAGAAAAAGAAGGAGAAAUUGGAGCAAUGACAACCCAGAAACAGAUAUUGGAUCAGCAACAAUCACAGAUGCAGAGAUUGAAGAAUCCAGGUGUUAUUAGUACCAAUGAAAUUCCAGUAAAGGAUGACAAGGAGGAGGAUGAGGAGAUGUCAACAUCAGCAUUGGGUAUGUUUCGAGCCAAGGAAGAGGAGAUUGAGAGGAAGAAAAUGGAGAUGAAAGACAAGGUUCAGGCUCAGUUGGGACGUGUUGAAGAAGCAACCAAACGCUUAGCUGGGAUACGAGAAGUAAGUUUAGAUAUACUGCAAAACGAUCUUGCUAGUAUAGUGUCUGCAAAAACCUCAGGCCAUAGAUGAGACUGAAACAAAUUUUCUUUUUCUUUAUGUCUAAUGAUAGGCAAUAAGAACCUAUUGAUCAGUUUUUGUCUUCUUUUUCUUUUUCUUCAUGGAGACUAUUAUCUUUUUUACAUGGGGAAAAAAAAUCUUUUAGGAGCUUGAAGCUCUCACAGAUCCACUGAGGAAAGAAGUUUCAAUGGUGCGAAAAAGGAUCGAUACAGUUAACCGGGAGUUGAAGCCUCUGGGGCAGACCUGCCAGAAGAAGGAGAGGGAAUACAAAGAAGCCGUUGAAGCUUUUAAUGAGAAAAACAAGGAAAAAGCUCAACUGGUUUCCAAAUUAAUGGAGCUGGUGGGUGAAAGUGAGAGACUGAGGCUGAAGAAGCUGGAUGAAUUGAGCAAGAACAUUGAAACUUUUCGCUAAUUGAAACAUUCUAACUAUAGCAGAAACCAGUCAUGUUAUAUAAGCUUGAUGUAAUUAGAAUCAUGCCUUUGAAUUUGGUGUAUACAUUGUGACUUUUCUAUCUGCAUGAUUUUUUUUUCAGUGGGUUUUUAAUCAUUGGAGGGCAGUUUGUUCAUAUAGGGAAAAAGAAAAUCAACCACCAAACUGCAGGUUUGGUACUAAGCACAUUGUCAAGCCUUGGGACAUUUCUCAAAUCUUGCAUUCAAAUGCAAGACAUUCUUUGUUUCAGAUUUGCAUAGUGACGUUGUACCUUAUUGUAUUGGUAAACAGGUCAUCUAGCUUCUUUCAUCAUCAUCAUCAUCAUCCUCAUCAUCUUCUACAUCUAAUUCAUCAUCAACAGCCUCACCCGUAAACCAUGACACAGCAUGAGGAAUAAUUUUGUCCCGAAUGGUAGUACCAAUAUUGUAAUCCUGUUCCAUUCUAUCCUGGAUUUCCUCAACAGCAUCAUCAUCUAGGUCAUCAUCUUCCUCAGGGAUAUUAGGAGUGUUAAAGAAAUUGAAGAAACUAGCACAAUUCUCAAUUUUUGUGAUGGGUUUGGCAUUCUUUGAUCCCUUUUUUGGUUUCUUCUUCAGGACCUUCUUUGUCAAGCAUUUUCCUGGAUACCAUUCA